UACGUAGGGUGCGAGCGUUAAUCGGAAUUACUGGGCGUAAAGGGUGCGCAGGCGGUUAUAUAAGACAGAUGUGAAAUCCCCGGGCUCAACCUGGGAACCUGCGUUUGUGACUGUAUGACUAGAGUACGGUAGAGAGGGGUGGAAUUCCUGGUGUAGCAGUGAAAUGCGUAGAUAUCAGGAGGAACAUCGAUGGCGAAGGCAGCCCCUUGGACCUGUACUGACGCUCAUGCACGAAAGCGUGGGGAGCAAACAGG
rnacentral:rRNA from 1 species